AGUACUGGAGAGGCAAGUGGAAUUCCUAGUGUAGCGGUGAAAUGCGUAGAUAUUAGGAAGAACACCAGUGCCGAAGACUGGCUUUCUGGACAGUAACUGACGCUGAGGCGCGAAAGCGUGGGGAGCAAACAGGAUUAGAUACCCUGGUAGUCCACGCUGUAAACGAUGGAUACUAGGUGUAGGAGGUAUCGACCCCUUCUGUGCCGGAGUUAACACUAUAAGUAUCCCACCUGGGGAGUACGGCCGCAAGGGUGAAACUAAAAGGAAUUGACGGGGGCCCGCACAAGCAGUGGAGUAUGUGGUUUAAUUCGAAGCAACGCGAAGAACAUUACCAGGGCUUGACAUCCCUCGGAUAACAUAGAGAUAUGUUAGUCCUUCGGGAAGAGGAGACAGGUGGUGCAUGGUUGUCGUCAGCUCGUGUCGUGAGAUCUUGGGUUAAGUCCCGCAACGAGCGCAACCCAUAUUGUUAGUGCGCAUCAGUAAGUUGGGCACUGUAACGAGACUGCCGGCGACACAUCGGAGGAAGGUGGGGACGACGUCUAAUCAUCAUGCCCGGGAUGUCCUGGGUUACACACGUACUACAAUGGUCACUACAAAGGGAAGCAAUACCGCAAGGAGGAGCUAAUCCCCAAGAGGUGACCUCAGUUCCGGAUUGUGGGCUGAAACCCGCCCACAUGAAGUCGGAAUUGCUAGUUAUGGCAGGUCAGCAUACUGUCGUGUAUACGUUCCCGGGCCUUGUACACACCGCCCGUCACACCAUGAGAGUG
rnacentral:rRNA from 1 species